UGGGGAAUUUUGCACAAUGGGGGAAACCCUGAUGCAGCGACGCCGCGUGAUUUAGAAGGCCUUCGGGUUGUAAAAAUCUUUUCUAUGGGAAGAAAAUGACAGUACCAUAGGAAUAAGGACCGGCUAAUUACGUGCCAGCAGCCGCGGUAAUACGUAAGGUCCGAGCGUUGUCCGGAAUCAUUGGGCGUAAAGGGUACGCAGGCGGGUAAGCAAGUUAGAAGUGAAAUCCUAUAGCUCAACUAUAGUAAGCUUUUAAAACUGCUCAUCUUGAGGUAUGGAAAGGAAAGUGGAAUUCCUAGUGUAGCGGUGAAAUGCGCAGAUAUUAGGAGGAAUACCGGUGGCGAAGGCGACUUUCUGGCCAUAACCUGACGCUGAGGUACGAAAGCGUGGGUAGCAAACAGG
rnacentral:rRNA from 1 species